rnacentral:rRNA from 1 species
AGAGUUUGAUCCUGGCUCAGAUUGAACGCUGGCGGCAGGCCUAACACAUGCAAGUCGAGCGGUAGAGAGAAGCUUGCUUCUCUUGAGAGCGGCGGACGGGUGAGUAAUGCCUAGGAAUCUGCCUGGUAGUGGGGGAUAACGUUCGGAAACGGACGCUAAUACCGCAUACGUCCUACGGGAGAAAGCAGGGGACCUUCGGGCCUUGCGCUAUCAGAUGAGCCUAGGUCGGAUUAGCUAGUUGGUGAGGUAAUGGCUCACCAAGGCGACGAUCCGUAACUGGUCUGAGAGGAUGAUCAGUCACACUGGAACUGAGACACGGUCCAGACUCCUACGGGAGGCAGCAGUGGGGAAUAUUGGACAAUGGGCGAAAGCCUGAUCCAGCCAUGCCGCGUGUGUGAAGAAGGUCUUCGGAUUGUAAAGCACUUUAAGUUGGGAGGAAGGGCAGUUGCCUAAUACGUAACUGUUUUGACGUUACCGACAGAAUAAGCACCGGCUAACUCUGUGCCAGCAGCCGCGGUAAUACAGAGGGUGCAAGCGUUAAUCGGAAUUACUGGGCGUAAAGCGCGCGUAGGUGGUUUGUUAAGUUGGAUGUGAAAUCCCCGGGCUCAACCUGGGAACUGCAUUCAAAACUGACUGACUAGAGUAUGGUAGAGGGUGGUGGAAUUUCCUGUGUAGCGGUGAAAUGCGUAGAUAUAGGAAGGAACACCAGUGGCGAAGGCGACCACCGGACGAUACGACACGAGGGCGAAAGCUUAGCACCCCCCU